rnacentral:rRNA from 1 species
GACGAACGCUGGCGGCGUGCCUAAUACAUGCAAGUUGAGCGCUGAAGGUUGGUACUUGUACCAACUGGAUGAGCAGCGAACGGGUGAGUAACGCGUGGGGAAUCUGCCUUUGAGCGGGGGACAACAUUUGGAAACGAAUGCUAAUACCGCAUAAAAACUUUAAACACAAGUUUUAAGUUUGAAAGAUGCAAUUGCAUCACUCAAAGAUGAUCCCGCGUUGUAUUAGCUAGUUGGUGAGGUAAAGGCUCACCAAGGCGAUGAUACAUAGCCGACCUGAGAGGGUGAUCGGCCACAUUGGGACUGAGACACGGCCCAAACUCCUACGGGAGGCAGCAGUAGGGAAUCUUCGGCAAUGGACGAAGGUCUGACCGAGCAACGCCGCGUGAGGGAAGAAGGUUUUCGGAUCGUAAAACUCUGUUGGUAGAGAAGAACGUUGGUGAGAGUGGAAAGCUCAUCAAGUGACGGUAACUACCCAGAAAGGGACGGCUAACUACGUG